AGUCAUAUGCUUGUCUCAAAGAUUAAGCCAUGCAUGUCUCAGUACAAGCCAAAUUAAGGUGAAACCGCGAAAGGCUCAUUAAAUCAGUUAUGGUUCCUUAGAUCGUACCCACAUUACUUGGAUAACUGUGGUAAUUCUAGAGCUAAUACAUGCCAACAGAACUCUGACCGGAGACGGAAGGAGUGCCUUUAUUAGAUCAAAACCAAUCGGUGGCGCGGCUUCGGCCGCGUCAUCGUACAAUAUGAUGAAUCUGAAUAACGUUUGCUGAUCGCACGGUCUCGCACCGGCGACGUAUCUUUCAAAUGUCUGCCUUAUCAACUGUCGAUGGUAGGUUCUGCGCCUACCAUGGUUGUAACGGGUAACGGGGAAUCAGGGUUCGAUUCCGGAGAGGGAGCCUGAGAAACGGCUACCACAUCCAAGGAAGGCAGCAGGCGCGCAAAUUACCCACUCCCGGCACGGGGAGGUAGUGACGAAAAAUAACGAUACGGGACUCAUCCGAGGCCCCGUAAUCGGAAUGAGCACACUUUAAAUCCUUUCACGAGGAUCAAUCGGAGGGCAAGUCAGGUGCCAGCAGCCGCGGUAAUUCCUGCUCCGAUAGCGUAU
rnacentral:rRNA from 1 species